CCUACGGGUGGCAGCAGUGAGGAAUAUUGGUCAAUGGGCGCGAGCCUGAACCAGCCAAGUAGCGUGAAGGAUGACUGCCCUACGGGUUGUAAACUUCUUUUAUAAAGGAGUAAAGUGAGGCACGUGUGCCUUUAUGUAUGUACUUUAUAAAUAAGGAUCGGCUAACUCCGUGCCAGCAGCCGCGGUAAUACGGAGGUUGCGAGCGUUAUCCGGAUUUAUUGGGUUGAAAGGGAGCGUAGAUGGGUUGUUAAGUCAGUUGUGAAAGUUUGCGGCUCAACCGUAAAAUUGCAAUUGAUACUGGCAGCCUUGAGUACAGUUGAGGUAGGUGGAAUUCGUGGUGUAGCGGUGAAAUGCUUAGAUAUCACGAAGAACUCCGAUUGCGAAGGCAGCCUACUAAACUGCCACUGACAUUGAUGCUCGAAAGUAUGGGUAUCAAACAGGAUUAGAUACCCGAGUAGUC
rnacentral:rRNA from 1 species